AAAUAUGCAUUGUGAUGUGUUCAAAUUGCAAAAAAUAUUCUGUAGCUUUUGGAAAGGGUUAGGGGUUUAUGCCAGAGUCUCACUGAAGAAUCUUUUCUUGUAAUAGAAAUAUUACAACAUAAAUGGAGAAGACACAGCGUGUUCACCAGGAAAACUUUGAAUAUUUUAUGUAACAAACUACACGAGGAGAUUGAAGAUCUGGAGAGAAAAGUGCAGGAAUACCAAAAAAAGGAAGGACUAAGAUGA
rnacentral:lncRNA from 1 species